rnacentral:rRNA from 1 species
UACGGAGGGAGCUAGCGUUGUUCGGAAUUACUGGCGUAAAGGGCUCGUAGGCGGCCAACUAAGUCAGACGUGAAAUCCCUCAGCUUAACUGGGGAACUGCGUCUGAUACUGGAUGGCUUGGAUUCGGGAGAGGAAUGCGGAAUUCCAGGUGUAGCGGUGAAAUGCGUAGAUAUCUGGAGGAACACCGGUGGCGAAGGCGGCAUUCUGGACCGAUAUUGGCGCUGAGGAGCGAAAGCCAGGGAGCA